AGUUCAGACUGCAGGCUGCAACUCGCCUGCACGAAGUCGGAAUUGCUAGUAAUCGUAGGUCAGCAUACUACGGUGAAUACGUUCCCGGGCCUUGUACACACCGCCCGUCAAACCAUGAGAGUUGGCAACACCCGAAGUCGGUAGUCUAACCGCAAGGGAGGACGCCGCCGAAGGGUGGGGGUUGAUGAUUAGGGUUAAGUCGUAACAAGGUAUC
rnacentral:rRNA from 1 species